rnacentral:rRNA from 1 species
CAGCAGCCGCGGUAAUACGGAGGGGGCUAGCGUUGUUCGGAAUUACUGGGCGUAAAGCGUACGUAGGCGGCUUUGUAAGUUAGAGGUGAAAGCCUGGUGCUCAACACCAGAACUGCCUUUAAGACUGCAUCGCUUGAACGUCGGAGAGGUAAGUGGAAUUCCGAGUGUAGAGGUGAAAUUCGUAGAUAUUCGGAAGAACACCAGUGGCGAAGGCGGCUCACUGGACGACUGUUGACGCCGAGGUACGAAAGCGUGGGGAGCAAACUGGAUUAGAUACCCCAGUAGUCCCUGUCUCUUAUAA